UCUGCAUCCCUUUUCCGGAAAAGGGGUGCAGUGUGUAGACAGCCCUGGUCUUUACAAGGAGUUUCACAGGCUGAAUAUGCACUGUGUGAACAAAAACUUCCUUUUGUUUUUAAAGCUGCUAAC
rfam:Pelodiscus sinensis unplaced genomic scaffold scaffold414, whole genome shotgun sequence.